ensembl:lncRNA
CUUCUCUCAGCCUUGUUAACAGAAAUUCUUCUCUAAUAAUUUGCAGACUGCAUUGAACAAAACACCAACCAGUUCACUGCCACAGAUAGAAAUUGAAGCCACAGAGUUUCGCGGCGGUAUCACUUACAUUGCAAGAGUUCGUUGCAAAGUUUCUGAAAAUGAGGGUUCUUACCAUAGUCAGUGGAGUGAGUGGAGCCAGACAACACUGUUUCAAAGAGCAGGUAUUCCACAACUGUCUGAAAAGCUCUUUAAUACUAGAACUGUGCAGUUCUUGUCUAUUCCUCUGAGUUUUGUUACCGUGCUCUACGUAUUUUGGAACUGCAAGCUUUCCUCAAGGGCAAAAAGCCUCUCCUGCCUUAACAUUCCCACACCAGCUGCCUUCUUUCAGCCACUCUAUAAUUUGCACAAUGGGAAUUUUAAGGACUGGGUUGGACGUGAUGAGGCCUGUGGCCAACUCAGAGGAGAAGAGGCCAGCAACACAAACAAAGUGCCUGCUGAUGGGRUUUCUGGACUAAGCACCCAAGAUAUGAUUUCCCAGAUCUCCUUGAAAUCUAUGGAAAGCACAAAUCUGGUUGCUGCAGAAGAAAAUUUUGCAUUUACCUCUGCUCCCAGCCGGCAGUAUGUCCCCAGCAGGUAUGUGGGAGCAGAAGAGAUAGAAGUGAGGCUGGCGCUGUUGCUUGCACAAAACCAUGCUGAUGAUACAGUUGGUCUGAAAAUCUCUGAAAUAAUUAAAAGCAACCUUGAUAGCCCUAACAUGGAACAGAAUCAUUCCUCUCACUUGCAGCAUCUAGAGGGUGACUUCCUGAUGCUUCAGGAAUCUUUGGAGAUGGCAAAUGUGUCCUUCAGCAGUAGUGACUAUUGCACCUUGUGUGACAAUGGCACCACAGGAGCUUUGAUUCCUGCUGAACUACUGAAGCUCUCUGAAGGCAGUGGUCUGGUCAAACACCAGAAUGAAGAGAAUGAUAUUCCCUGAAGAAUGCUGCCUGCAAGGGUCUGUGCACUGUCCUCUCCCCUCUCCACACAUCUCCCCAAACAGCUUAAAUGGAGACUGCACAGACAGGCAAUUACAACAAAGUAUUAUUUUUAGUCAAAAAAAUCUUUUUUUAAAUUUUAACUUCAAAAUUAGGUUGUGACCAGCUGCUCUGGCCAGCAAAUACUACCCCUGCCAUUGCAAGGCCUGACCACAGUAACAUCUGCUGUCUCGGGGGAGAUGUGACCAUGCCCUUCCCUACACCAAGCACCUGGUCUAAGAAGGCAGCAGCAGACCUGUGCUGUCUUUCCCCUGGAAGAGCUACUACAAUUCCGUGCCUCUCCCGGCCCUGCCAGAUCAUGAUUUCCUCGUGAGACGGAGCAGCUCUGCACUGCUCUCAGCACACCGUUCUUCGCCUCACUGCAGACCUGCUUAACCCGACAGCUACUGUAUCCUGCUGGAAGGAGGAGCAGCAAUAUUCACAAUGUGCUGAACCGUGAUUUAAAAUCCAUCUUUAUUCUUAAAACUAUGUAUGAUUCUUGAUUAAAAAUGAUUUUUUUUUUUUUUUGCUAAAGGUGCAUUUUGCUUCUUAAUAUUACAUUGACUUAAAAUGGCUUCUGAUUUCCUCAGAAUUUAUAAUUACAACAUCUAAAGAUAUUCAGAUAGUGGGCUUUGUUCUUUACUCAUGUGAACAGAUGUAGCUUCUUGUUUGCAGUGAUGGAGCCCCGUCUGCUGCUUUGACUCCUAACAAAAACUUGUUCCAAGGUUAAUGUCAGGGCUGAUCUGAUAAAAGUGGAGAAAGGUGAAAAGCAAGAACAGGCCAGGCUCACUGCCCCUCCAAGGCUUUUCUUAUCUCUCCAGAACUGACCAGUGCUUUGUCCAUCUGCCCAACAGGAACAGCCAGUCCUGGCCAGAGCCUAACYGCCAGGAUUUUUACUUUCUGCCUUAGAAACGGGAAACCCUGUGUAUGGUUGAUCUCGCACCAAGCGGGUCCCCGGGCUCA